CAGGUGCUGCAUGGCUGUCGUCAGCUCGUGUCGUGAGAUGUUGGGUUAAGUCCCGUAACGAGCGCAACCCUUGUCCUUAGUUACCAGCACGUAAUGGUGGGCACUCUAAGGAGACUGCCGGUGACAAACCGGAGGAAGGUGGGGAUGACGUCAAGUCAUCAUGGCACUUACGGCCUGGGCUACACACGUGCUACAAUGGUCGGUACAGAGGGUUGCCAAGCCGCGAGGUGGAGCUAAUCCCAUAGAACCGAUCGUAGUCCGGAUCGCAGUCUGCAACUCGACUGCGUGAAGUCGGAAUCGCUAGUAAUCGCGAAUCAGAAUGUCGCGGUGAAUACGUUCCCGGGCCUUGUACACACCGCC
rnacentral:rRNA from 1 species